UUGGAGACCCCGACGGGCUAGCCGAUCCGCUGUCCAGCACCUAUUGAGCAUGGCCAACCAGAGAAAUAUCUUGCACCGAAGGGGCGCCCAAGACUUCCAUAGGAGCUUGUACGGCUCGAAACCAGAAGAGCCCACAAAGAACCUAGCAUAAGCUAAUCGAGCGGAGUAAGUACCCGAGCUCUCCGGUGUCCAAAGAUGUUGGUCCGGCUGGUUCUCAAGCAACUGAACAUUCUCCAAGGUAUCCCAAAGCUCCAGGUAGUCCAAGAUUGCCGGCACCGACAACCCACCUGCAAUGUCGCCCACCCAUCGCAAAUCCUGCAUGGCCUCAUUAACGAUCUCGCAGUUCAAACAGGAAGGAAUGUUGUUCAUGGAAGUGAUAGUCCUGAUAACGGCAAGCGUGAAAUCGCUCUGUGGUUCAAAGAAGGCGAGCUCUGCCAAUGGGAAUCAGUUCAAACACCUUGGCUUGUAGAGUGAUAUCUGCUGAUGGCUGUGAGAUCUGUAUUGGAUGUGUUUGUUCAACUUUAGUCAUGGGGCCAUGUAUGGGCAUAUGAGUUUAGUUCGGUGUAGUAAAUUAGCUCAUCAGGUCUGCAGUUUCGUUAUAUAUCACUCUUCAUCGGGAUGCCCUUUUUGUAAUAUUGAACAUCUAUGCAACUGAAACAUUUCAUCAGUUAUUCUGGAGAUUUUUUUUCCUCCCA